rnacentral:lncRNA from 1 species
AUGGUAACUUUUGUACCCAUUUUAUUCCAGGUACUCACUGUGAUUUGUAUUUUUAGGACUGCAGUUGUCUGGCUAGUCAAGCCAUCCUGCUGGGUAUACUGCUCAAAAGAGAAGGCCCCAACUUCAUCACCAGGGAAGGUACCAUUUCUGAUCACAUUGAGAGAGUCUAUAGAAGAGCUGGCAGCAAAAAGCUUUGGUCGGUUGUGCGCCGUGCAGCAAGUCUUUUAA